UACGUAGGGUGCAAGCGUUGUCCGGAAUUAUUGGGCGUAAAGAGCUCGUAGGCGGUUUGUUGCGUCGGCUGUGAAAUCCCGAGGCUCAACCUCGGGUCUGCAGUCGAUACGAGCAAACUAGAGUGUUGCAGGGGAGACUGGAAUUCCUGGUGUAGCGGUGGAAUGCGCAGAUAUCAGGAGGAACACCAAUAGCGAAGGCAGCUCGCUGGGACGGUACUGACGCUAAGGCGCGAAAGCGUGGGGAGCGAACAGG
rnacentral:rRNA from 1 species